CCUACGGGUGGCAGCAGUGAGGAAUAUUGGUCAAUGGGCGGAAGCCUGAACCAGCCAAGUAGCGUGCAGGAUGACGGCCCUACGGGUUGUAAACUGCUUUUAUACGGGAAUAACGCGCCUUACGUGUAGGGCUUUGCAUGUACCGCAUGAAUAAGGACCGGCUAAUGCCGUGCCAGGAGCCGCGGUAAUACGGAGGGACCGGGCGUUAUCCGGGUUUAUUGGGUUUAAAGGGAGCGUAGGCCGCAUGUCAAGCGUGCUGUGAAGUGUCCGGGCUCAACCCGGGCCUUGCAGCGCGAACUGGGGUGCUUGAGUCCGCGGAAGGCAGGCGGAAUUCGUCGUGUAGCGGUGAAAUGCUUAGAUAUGACGAAGAACCCCGAUUGCGAAGGCAGCUUGCUGCAGCGGAACUGACGCUGAUGCUCGAAAGCGCGGGUAUCGAACAGGAUUAGAUACCCCAGUAGUC
rnacentral:rRNA from 1 species